UGAACAUCGUCCUCACACUCUGCAUGGUGUUUCUUUGGAAACAAAGAGAGAGCAUGAAGCCAAAAGAAGAGGACAGCACUUACAUGGCAUUGGAUCACACUAACAGAUCUCCAGACUAUGAUGUCAUUG